UCGGAGGCUGAAACCCGCCUCCAUGAAGUUGGAUUCGCUAGUAAUCGCGCAUCAGCCAUGGCGCGGUGAAUACGUUCCCGGGCCUUGUACACACCGCCCGUCAAGCCAUGGGAGCUGGGGGUGCCUGAAGUUCGUGACCGCAAGGAUCGACCUAGGGCAAAACCGGUGACUGGGGCUAAGUCGUAACAAGGUAAC
rnacentral:rRNA from 1 species